rnacentral:rRNA from 1 species
UACGUAGGGGGCAAGCGUUGUCCGGAUUUAUUGGGCGUAAAGAGCGUGUAGGCGGCCAGGUAGGUCCGUUGUGAAAACUCGAGGCUCAACCUCGAAGACGCCGAUGGAAACCAUCUGGCUAGAGUCCGGAAGAGGAGAGUGGAAUUCCGUGGUGUAGCGGUGAAAUGCGCAGAUAUCAGGAAGAACACCCGUGGCUAAGGCGGCUCUCUAGUACGGUACUGACGCUGAGACGCGAAAGCGUGGGGAGCGAACAGG